AACGAACGCUGGCGGCAUGCCUAACACAUGCAAGUCGAACGAAGCCUUCGGGCUUAGUGGCGCACGGGUGCGUAACGCGUGGGAAUCUGCCCUUGGGUUCGGAAUAACAGUUAGAAAUGACUGCUAAUACCGGAUGAUGUCUUCGGACCAAAGAUUGAUCGCCCAGGGAUGAGCCCGCGUAGGAUUAGGUAGUUGGUGGGGUAAUGGCCCACCAAGCCGACGAUGCUUAGCUGGUCCGAGAGGAUGAUCAGCCACACGGGGACUGAGACACGGCCCAGACUCCUACGGGAGGCAGCAGUGGGGAAUAUUGGACAAUGGGCGAAAGCCUGAUCCAGCAAUGCCGCGUGAGUGAUGAAGGCCUUAGGGUUGUAAAGCUCUUUUACCAGGGAUGAUAAUGACAGUACCUGGAGAAUAAGCUCCGGCUAACUCCGUGCCAGCCGCCGCCGUAACAC
rnacentral:rRNA from 1 species